rnacentral:rRNA from 1 species
CCUACGGGAGGCAGCAGUGAGGAAUAUUGGGCAAUGGGCGAAAGCCUGACCCAGCCACGCCGCGUGUGUGAUGAAGGCUUUCGGGUCGUAAAGCUCUGUCAGGGGGGAAGAAACACCUGAAGGUUAAUAUCCUUUAGGCUUGACGGUACCCUCAAAGGAAGCACCGGCUAACUCCGUGCCAGCAGCCGCGGUAAUACGGAGGGUGCAAGCGUUGUUCGGAAUUAUUGGGCGUAAAGCGCGUGUAGGCGGUUUGUUAAGUCUGAUGUGAAAGCCCCGGGCUCAACCCGGGAAGUGCAUUGGAAACUGUUUUACUUGAGUCAGUGAGGGGAGGGCAGAAUUCCUGGUGUAGCGGUGAAAUGCGUAGAUAUCAGGAGGAAGGCCUGUGGCGAAGGCGGCCCUCUGGCACUGGACUGACGCUGAGGCGCGAAAGCGUGGGGAGCAAACAGGAUUAGAUACCCUGGUAG